rnacentral:rRNA from 1 species
UACGGGGGGGCGAGCGUUGUUCGGAAUUACUGGGCGUAAAGGGUUCGUAGGUGGCUUGCUAAGUCAGACGUGAAAUCCCUCGGCUCAACCGGGGAAUUGCGUCUGAAACUGGCGAGCUUGAGUGCAGGAGAGGAACGCGGAAUUCCAGGUGUAGCGGUGAAAUGCGUAGAUAUCUGGAGGAACACCGGUGGCGAAGGCGGCGUUCUGGACUGCAACUGACACUGAGGAACGAAAGCCAGGGUAGCAAACGGG